rnacentral:rRNA from 1 species
GACGAACGCUGGCGGCGUGCUUAACACAUGCAAGUCGAACGGAAAGGCCCUGCUUUUGUGGGGUGCUCGAGUGGCGAACGGGUGAGUAACACGUGAGUAACCUGCCCUUGACUUUGGGAUAACUUCAGGAAACUGGGGCUAAUACCGGAUAGGAGCUCCUGCUGCAUGGUGGGGGUUGGAAAGUUUCUGCGGUUGGUGAUGGACUCGCGGCUUAUCAGCUUGUUGGUGGGGUAGUGGCUUACCAAGGCUUUGACGGGUAGCCGCCCUGCGGAGGUGACCGGCCACCUUAGGAGUGCUGAGAGGCCGACCCUCCUCCUGCAGGCGGCAGUGGUGAAUAAUUCACCAUGAUGGGCGGAAUGCUGACGCAGCGCUGCGUGCGGGAUGAAGGACUUCGAGUUGUAGACCGCUUCUGCCUGCGACGAAGCGUGAGUGACGGUAACUGGUGAAGAAGCACCGGCUAACUACGUG